GGGGGGUGGAUACCAGUUGCGCACGCAAGCACUGAAUGAACGUGCUUUUCAACAGUCAGUAUCUCUAGUGAUGUUCUUCAAAACGGUAGAGUGAAUUCGCGUCUUCUACCACCCACGAUCUCAACCUCGCGACAAUUACGGACCGUCGGGAUUAUUCUAUUUUCACUUCCAUAAAAUUGAUAUUUGUGUCGUCCGAUGAUUGACGUAUAUCACUAUGUACUUUACCCACCGCAUGUCGUAAUUUCAAAUUCACUUUUUGUAAUUCAAAACUCGGGAAAUUGAAGUUCGAAACUCCUCGUGAGGUGACUCGAGAGGGACUGGGGAUACCUGAAUUCAUUAAUAAACUUUCACGGUUGAGGUGUAUGAAUAAUGCGAAAGGCUAUUCGCUGUAUCCGGUGGGAGAAGUUAUCGAGAAUUAAUGGAAGUGCUGUCGUGAUGAUUUCUUUCGAUGUGAGAGGACAUUACCCCACUGAUACCUAGAUUAUUCCUGAGGCCAACUUGGCCAAGUUGGGGAAUUCCAGAAAUGCUCCCCACCAGUCUCACAGUGAACUUGGACAUGAUACCCGAACAGCACAAGAAUCAGAGAUCUUUUCUCGCUAAUAACAUUUGUCGCAAAGUUGGAGAGGUAUUUGAUGAAGAAAGUUCUUGAUGAGUUUUCCCAUUCCUCAAUAGUGAUACAGUAUUGCAAUGGUGGAGUUCAGCAUGAGAUUUCCAUUACAACAAUAAAAACAGGAAUGUCAUCUCAUCGAAAACUUGUAAACAUUGCAGAUCUCCUAAGAAGAAAGUUCUCACAAUGUAUGUGAAACUUGAUGAAUUGUUUAGAGACAAUUUGAAUAGGGAUUCCUCAUUAUUUUCAAGAACUUCGAAUGAUGUGGGAAAUGGGACUUCCUUCGAUAGUUAUGCAGAUCUUGGACUCAAGUGAAAUUCACAUUGUUGGAGCUGAAGUUUCAGACAGAAGUUUGAAAAUCUUAAUUUAAGAUGAACGGAGUGACUCUGGAACUUUUGUACAAUUGCAGUGUAUCAGUGCUGGAUCAGAACAUCACAUACACGAGCAUCAAUCGCAGUGAAUUGCUGGUGAUGCUUGAUGAAAUACUGACACGUUCCACCAAACGUGAGGUGCUUCGAGCUAAUUUGAGCGAUUGCCUUUUGACAGGCCAACAACGCCCAUUCGAUCUUCCCUGGUGGCAGAAGCUAUCAUGGUCAACGAUAUUCGCUGUCAUUCUGCUGGUUGCGACAGGUGGUAACAUCAUCGUCAUGUGGAUUGUUCUAGCCCACAGAAGGAUGCGUACAGUAACCAAUUAUUUACUGGUCAAUCUCUCGAUAGCGGACUUGAUGAUGACAUUACUCAACUGUGUGUUUAAUUUUAUCUUCAUGCUCAACUCUGAUUGGCCAUUUGGAGUGAUGUACUGUACUAUAAAUAACUUCGUCGCAAAUGUAACUGUCGCAUCCAGCACAUUCACACUCGUCGUUAUAUCGUUUGACAGAUACAUGGCUAUCAUGAGGCCACUUCACCACCACAUGUCACGGAGGCGCACCAUUGCAGCGUUAAUUCUCAUUUGGGUCGCUUCGGUGUUACUCGCAAUGCCCUGUCUGCUUUACUCUACAACGAUGACAAAAAGAUACUCCAACGGAAAAUCCAGGAUCGUCUGCUACGUGCUCUGGCCCGAUGGUGACUACCUGAAUAGCAAAAGUGAAUAUAUAUAUAAUCUGAUAUUCCUGGGGGUGACCUAUCUCAUCCCGAUGACAGUCAUGGCGGUUUGCUAUACGCUCAUGGGUCGGAAAUUAUGGGGCUCCAAGUCCAUUGGGGAGCAUACCCAAUAUCAAAAGGAAUCUAUGAAAUCGAAACGCAAGGUGGUCAAAAUGUUUAUCAUCGUUGUCUUAAUAUUCGCUAUCUGUUGGCUACCAUACCAGGCCUUCUUUAUACUUCUCUACCACCACCGACGCAUACGAGGAAGCAGUUAUGUACAACACGUUUACCUGAGUUUCUACUGGCUGGCCAUGGCCAAUGCAAUGGUCAAUCCUCUUAUAUACUAUUGGAUGAACAACAGAUUUCGAGUGUAUUUCCAACAAAUUAUCUGCAGAUGCUGCGUGAUAGAUCGAGGGAACACAAGAAACCGUCAAAUGCAGGAAUUGACAGGAUUCCGUCGGUCUGACACAGCCCGAUCCCAUUCCGCAUUAGCUCCUUCAUCAUCACAACAACUCUGGAAAUGUCAGUUCGAUUAAAGUGAAGUGGCAUUAAGACACUAUUGAACACGUGGCUGAAAUUUCUCUCAAUGUGCAAUCUUGAGUUUACUCAGCCAUGUACAUUCGACGAUAGUAUGACUUUUAUGGCUGAAGCCCUCAGGUGGCUAUACCGACACUGCAAUAUUUGCAUUUGCAUGGUCGUGGUUUUGGGUGAGAUUAGUGCUUGCUCUUGUGCAAAACUACAGUUCCAAAAAAUAUCCAAUGGCUGGCACUCACCCAGGAAGAUAUAAAAUCUCUACUGCAAGUGGUAAACAAAAAUGAGACGAGUAGUUUUUUUAUGCAAAUUUUCAGUGGCUGAAUGUUUACAGUGAAAGAUAUUUUUUUAUGAAUGCUGAGAUGCAUAAAAAUCGAUACAACUCUUACACCGUGGAAAAUCGAAAAUACGGACAGUGGUCAAUCGAGCUUAACUUCAUUGCUGCCACUGUCAGGGAAGUUUGGGGAGGGAAGAGGGGGGCAGAAGGAAUAAACUUCUCGGUUGGACAAUUACUAUCUCAAUUAUUGGAAGCUCAGCCUCAUCAAAUUCACUCCGCAUUUCUCGUUAUACGAUUUUCAUAGUUAUUUCGUAAUUAUUUGUCAUAAUCGUUUCAUAUUUAUUUCAGAACGAUACAGAACAACAUCGAUAAGGUGGCGUCAUAGUGCUCCAGAUAGCCAGGUUCAGGCAUUCAGGAUGAAUUCACGGUCGAUAUGCGAGAAGAUUCACGGUGGUAGAGAGGAUGUCACUA